rnacentral:rRNA from 1 species
AGCGAACGCUGGCGGCAGGCUUAACACAUGCAAGUCGAGCGGGCAUAGCAAUAUGUCAGCGGCAGACGGGUGAGUAACGCGUGGGAACGUACCUUUUGGUUCGGAACAACUGAGGGAAACUUCAGCUAAUACCGGAUAAGCCCUUACGGGGAAAGAUUUAUCGCCGAAAGAUCGGCCCGCGUCUGAUUAGCUAGUUGGUGAGGUAAUGGCUCACCAAGGCGACGAUCAGUAGCUGGUCUGAGAGGAUGAUCAGCCACAUUGGGACUGAGACACGGCCCAAACUCCUACGGGAGGCAGCAGUGGGGAAUAUUGGACAAUGGGCGCAAGCCUGAUCCAGCCAUGCCGCGUGAGUGAUGAAGGCCCUAGGGUUGUAAAGCUCUUUUGUGCGGGAAGAUAAUGACGGGACCGCAAGAAUAAGCCCCGGCUAACUUCGU